rnacentral:lncRNA from 1 species
UGAAGACAGCCUUGCGUAAGAAAAUGGCCUUUGGCAGCUUGUCACAGCUCCUCAGCCCCUUUGUUACUGUCUUACCAGGCUGCAGAGGGAGUAAGGAAAGAACCGCAGCUGGAACCGCUAGGCCGUGGACCCCGACCACAGGCCCAGCGCAGGAACCCUAAGUGAUCUUGGAGGAGGUGUCGCAACCACCUCUGCCUGCCAGGGGGCAGCCAGCCUGGCCCCCGUGGGAUCCUCCGUCCCCGUCCCAGGAACCCUGGGGAGCCAGAGCAGAGAGCCAUCAGAGAGAUGCUGGCCCUACUAGACCUGUCCCUUCUCGAGGGCGCUCACGAUUUCCCGACCUAAGCUGCCUUCCAUGCUUGGACUUGGAGGGCGGUUGUCUGUCAUGUUGAAGCCUCAGAAAUUAAACGUGCAGCUCACAAGUCCAUUAAUUUUAGCUUCCCAUUAAUCUAUUUAUAAGUGAGCCAGCGCUGGCUCUAUAAAUACAGUCCUAUAAAAUUGAACUCCUUCCCAUAAAUUUUCCAAGUUGUUUAUUUACAUGUAUUCCCUCGCCCUCUAACGAGCCUCCUUUAAACUGGGGGAAGACCCGGGCACACCGACCCUCGACGGGGUGUGCUCAAACCCUCCCCAGCUUCCUGCUGGAGUCCUGGCAUCCUGGGGGAGGAAGGAAUCACGCGGGGGGCAGAAAACGGAGGGCGAAAGCAUUUUUCCUUCUUGACUUUGUUUCCUUGUUUUUAUCCCAAACUCACACUUUCCAUAUUUCCCAUCACAAGCUCCAUGUUGAUUUAUAUCGUCAUAAACAGCAUUCUUGCGACUAUAGCUUCUCUCAUAGCUUGGGGUAAGCUCCUUUUUCACUUCCCUGGCAGCUACUACUUUGAAAUCAGGCCCCAUAAAUAACCACAUCGCUCCCUUAGGAAGAGGUCCGUCAAACGUCUCCCCGGGUCCACUUUCUCGGCGUGGCUCCCUCCCCGCCGCCGCCGCCCCUCCCAGGUCACAGGUUGGCG